rnacentral:rRNA from 1 species
CGCGGCCUAUCAGCUUGUUGGUGGGGUAACGGCCCACCAAGGCAUCGACGGGUAGCUGGUCUGAGAGGACGACCAGCCACACUGGGACUGAGACACGGCCCAGACUCCUACGGGAGGCAGCAGUGGGGAAUAUUGCGCAAUGGGCGAAAGCCUGACGCAGCAACGCCGCGUGGGGGAUGACGGCCUUCGGGUUGUAAACCCCUUUCAGCAGGGACGAAAAUGACGGUACCUGCAGAAGAAGCCCCGGCCAACUACGUGCCAGCAGCCGCGGUAACACGUAGGGGGCAAGCGUUGUCCGGAUUUAUUGGGCGUAAAGAGCUCGUAGGCGGUUGCGUAAGUCGGAUGUGAAAACUCAGGGCUCAACCCGGAGACGCCAUCCGAUACUGCGCUGACUAGAGUCCGGUAGAGGAGCAUGGAAUUCCUGGUGUAGCGGUGAAAUGCGCAGAUAUCAGGAGGAACACCAGUGGCGAAGGCGGUGCUCUGGGCCGGUACUGACGCUGAGGAGCGAAAGCGUGGGUAGCGAACAGGAUUAGAUACCCUGGUAGUCCACGCCGUAAACGUUGGGCACUAGGUGUGGGGCCUCCUUAACGGGUUCCGUGCCGUAGCUAACGCAUUAAGUGCCCCGCCUGGGGAGUACGG